AUAAAACUUGGAGUGUUUAGAUAUCCCAGACCUCACUAAUUGUGGGGGGGUGGUCUGGAACGUAGCCCCCACAUCGGAAGGUGAAGUACUGUAACAAGUGCUACUAUACCGAGUGGCCAAAUGAGUCAAUUUGGUUUAAAGUCGAGCCGAUUAGAAAACAAAAGCUGAAGUAUUUUCACCAGACCCCGUCCAGCAGCAGCAGACUGUUUUGGGGAUU